rnacentral:tmRNA from 1 species
CUGCUUUAAAUGCCGGCCGGCAGGUCGUAUAUUACAGGUGCCGGUUCGCCGGCUAUGGCGAUAAACGUGCUGUGAAAUAGGCAGAGCGGACCCGGGGGCGGUACCCGGCGCCUCCACCAUUUUAGCCGUGACCCGGAUGGGGUGAUGAUAACAGUUAUCCGGUUGGGCGGCUGAAAGCGUGGGGGCGAAAUAGGAUCGACGCAUGUAGUAAAGGCAGUAUUUUCGCCCGGUAUGGUACCCGCCGUUAUCGGGCCAUGUAGUAGUUGCAAACGACAACACUGCUCCGGUCGCAAUCGCAGCCUAACGGCAGCGGGAGUAACCGAUCUUAAAGUCCGGUCCGCUUGAGCUCGGGCCGGCGGGGUUCCGGAGCGCACCUGGCAACAGAAGCGCUCCACU